rnacentral:rRNA from 1 species
GGCCCUACGGGGCGCAGCAGGCGCGAAAACUUUACAAUGCGAGAAAUCGUGAUAAGGGAACCCCGAGUGCCCGUAAAUUCGGGCUGUCCAUCAGUGUAAAUAACUGGUGAAGAAAGGGCCGGGCAAGACCGGUGCCAGCCGCCGCGGUAAUACCGGCGGCUCGAGUGGUGGCCGCUAUUACUGGGCUUAAAGCGUCCGUAGCUGGGUUGUUAAGUCUCCUGGGAAAUCUACCGGCUCAACCGAUGGGCGUUCAGGAGAUACUGGCAACCUAGGGACCGGGAGAGGUGAGGGGUACUCCAGGGGUAGGAGUGAAAUCCUGUAAUCCUUGGGGGACCACCUGUGGCGAAGGCGUCUCACCAGAACGGACCUGACGGCAAGGGACGAAAGCUAGGGGCACGAACCGGAUUAGAUACCCGGGUAGUCCUAGCCGUAAACGAUACUCGCUAGGUGUCGGCCACGGUGCGACCGUUGUCGGUGCCGUAGGGAAGCCGUGAAGCGAGCCACCUGGGAAGUACGGCCGCAAGGCUGAAACUUAAAGGAAUUGGCGGGGGAGCACCACAACGGGUGGAGCUUGCGGUUUAAUUGGAUUC